ACAUGCCUACAACAUAGAGUUAAUGCACCAGAUCCCAUUAGAACUAUGCAAUUAAGCGUGCUAGGGCUAGAGUAGUAUUGGGAUGGGUGACCGCCCAGGAAGUCCUAGUAUUUUACAUGCC
rnacentral:rRNA from 1 species